rnacentral:rRNA from 1 species
GACGAACGCUGGCGGCGUGCUUAACACAUGCAAGUCGAACGGAAAGGCCCUGCGUUUGUGGGGUGCUCGAGUGGCGAACGGGUGAGUAACACGUGAGUAACCUGCCCUUGACUUUGGGAUAACUUCAGGAAACUGGGGCUAAUACCGGAUAGGAGCUCCUGCUGCAUGGUGGGGGUUGGAAAGUUUCGGCGGUUGGGGAUGGAUUCGCGGCUGAUCAGCUUGUUGGUGGGGGAGUGGCUUGCCAAGGCAUUGACGGGUAGCCGGCCUGAGAGGGGGACCGGCGACAAUGGGCCUGAGAUACGGCCCAGACUCCUACGUGAGGCAGCAGUGGGGAGUAUUGCACAAUGGGCGGACGUCUGAUGCAGCAACGCCGCGUGCGGGAUGACGGUCUUCGGGUAGUAAACCGCUUUAGCUUGUGACGAAGCGUGAGUGACGGUAAUGGGUGAAGAAGCACCGGCUAACUACGUG